GACGAACGCUGGCGGCGUGCUUAACACAUGCAAGUCGAACGGUAAGGCCCUUCGGGGUACACGAGUGGCGAACGGGUGAGUAACACGUGGGUGAUCUGCCCUGCACUUCGGGAUAAGCCUGGGAAACUGGGUCUAAUACCGGAUAGGACCCUGGGAUGCAUGUCCUGGGGUGGAAAGCUUUUGCGGUGUGGGAUGGGCCCGCGGCCUAUCAGCUUGUUGGUGGGGUGAUGGCCUACCAAGGCGACGACGGGUAGCCGGCCUGGGAGGGUGACCGGCCACACUGGGACUGAGAUACGGCCCAGACUCCUACGGGAGGCAGCAGUGGGGAAUAUUGCACAAUGGGCGCAAGCCUGAUGCAGCGACGCCGCGUGAGGGAUGACGGCCUUCGGGUUGUAAACCUCUUUCAGCACCGACGAAGCGCAAGUGACGGUAGGUGCAGAAGAAGGACCGGCCAACUACGUGCCAGCAGCCGCCGUAAAAC
rnacentral:rRNA from 1 species